UCGGGAAUUUUGGGCAAUGGGCGAAAGCCUGACCCAGCAACGCCGCGUGAAGGAUGAAGUAUUUCGGUAUGUAAACUUCGUAAGAAUAGGAAGAAUAAAUGACGGUACUAUUUGUAAGGUCCGGCUAACUACGUGCCAGCAGCCGCGGUAAUACGUAGGGACCAAGCGUUGUUCGGAUUUACUGGGCGUAAAGGGCGCGUAGGCGGUGUGUCAAGUCAGUUGUGAAAUCUCCGAGCUUAACUCGGAACGGUCAACUGAUACUGUCACACUAGAGUACAGAAGGGGCAAUCGGAAUUCUUGGUGUAGCGGUGAAAUGCGUAGAUAUCAAGAGGAACACCUGAGGUGAAGACGGGUUGCUGGGCUGACACUGACGCUGAGGCGCGAAAGCCAGGGGAGCAAACAGGAUUAGAUACCCGCGUAGUCCCUGAGCGGGCUGGCAAGGCGCAU
rnacentral:rRNA from 1 species